rnacentral:rRNA from 1 species
GACGAACGCUGGCGGCGUGCUUAACACAUGCAAGUCGAACGGAAAGGCCCUGCUUUUGUGGGGUGCUCGAGUGGCGAACGGGUGAGUAACACGUGAGUAACCUGCCCUUGACUUUGGGAUAACUUCAGGAAACUGGGGCUAAUACCGGGUAGGAGCUCCUGCUGCAUGGUGGGGGUUGGAAAGUUUCGGCGGUUGGGGAUGGACUCGCGGCUUAUCAGCUUGUUGGUGGGGUAGUGGCUUACCAAGGCUUUGACGGGUAGCCGGCCUGAGAGGGUGACCGGCCACAUUGGGACUGAGAUACGGCCCAGACUCCUACGGGAGGCAGCAGUGGGGAAUAUUGCACAAUGGGCGGAAGCCUGAUGCAGCAACGCCGCGUGCGGGAUGACGGCCUUCGGGUUGUAAACCGCUUUCGCCUGUGACGAAGUGUGAGUGACGGUAAUGGGUAAAGAAGCACCGGCUAACUACGUG